AGAUUGAACGCUAGCGGGAUGCUUUACACAUGCAAGUCGAACGGCAGCGCGGACUUCGGUCUGGCGGCGAGUGGCGAACGGGUGAGUAAUAUAUCGGAACGUGCCCAGUAGCGGGGGAUAACUACGCGAAAGCGUGGCUGAUACCGCGUACGCCCUGGCGGGGGGAAAGGGGGGGAUCGCAAGACCUCUCACUAUUGGAGCGGCCGAUAUCAGAUUAGCUAGUUGGUGAGGUAAAGGCUCACCAAGGCGACGAUCUGUAGCUGGUUUGAGAGGACGACCAGCCACACUGGGACUGAGACCACGGCCCAGACUCCGUACGGGAGCAGCAGUGGGGUAAUUUGGACAAG
rnacentral:rRNA from 1 species